rnacentral:rRNA from 1 species
UACGUAGGGUGCGAGCGUUAAUCGGAAUUAUUGGGCGUAAAGCGUGCGUAGGCGGUUUUAUAAGACAGAUGUGAAAGCCCCGGGCUCAACCUGGGAAUUGCAUUCGAGACUGCAUUGCUGGAGUACGGAAGAGGAGGGCGGAAUUCCCGGUGUAGCGGUGAAAUGCGUAGAUAUCGGGAGGAACAUCAGUGGCGAAGGCGGCCCUCUGGUCCAGUACUGACACUCAAGUGCGAAAGCGUGGGGAGCAAACAGG